CCUACGGGCGGCAGCAGUGAGGAAUAUUGGUCAAUGGACGAGAGUCUGAACCAGCCAAGUAGCGUGAAGGAUGACUGCCCUAUGGGUUGUAAACUUCUUUUAUAUGGGAAUAAAAUGUUCCACGUGUGGGAUUUUGUAUGUACCAUAUGAAUAAGGAUCGGCUAACUCCGUGCCAGCAGCCGCGGUAAUACGGAGGAUCCGAGCGUUAUCCGGAUUUAUUGGGUUUAAAGGGUGCGCAGGCGGCGUGUCAAGUCAGCGGUAAAAUGUCGGGGCUCAACCCCGGCCGGCCGUUGAAACUGGCGUGCUCGAGUUGGAGAGAAGUAUGCGGAAUUCGUGGUGUAGCGGUGAAAUGCAUAGAUAUCACGAAGAACCCCGAUUGCGAAGGCAGCAUACCGGCUCCACACUGACGCUGAGGCACGAAAGCGUGGGUAUCGAACAGGAUUAGAUACCCUAGUAGUC
rnacentral:rRNA from 1 species